rnacentral:rRNA from 1 species
UACGUAGGGUGCAAGCGUUAAUCGGAAUUACUGGGCGUAAAGCGUGCGCAGGCGGCUUUGCAAGACAGAUGUGAAAUCCCCCGGGCUCAACCUGGGAACUGCCAUUUGUGACUGCAUGGCUAGAGUACGGUAGAGGGGGAUGGAAUUCCGCGUGUAGCAGUGAAAUGCGUAGAUAUGCGGAGGAACACCGAUGGCGAAGGCAAUCCCCUGGACCUGUACUGACGCUCAUGCACGAAAGCGUGGGGAGCAAACAGG